CCCGGAAGUGGAACUCUCGGCCAUUCAGCCUUUGGGUGAAGACGGAGGCGGGUUCUGGAGAGACGUACACUGUCAGGGAGUGUUUGCUUCGCCUCCACUUCUGUUCCUCCCAGCCCUGAUGCUGCUCCGGGUCACAUACUCGGCCUAAGCCGGCUUCAGCCUCUCCAGGCAGAAGUCUCCCGGAGCCAUGGCCGAGUACUCCUAUGUGAAGUCUACCAAGCUCAUGCUCAAGGGAACCAAGGCGAAGAGUAAGAAGAAAAAGAGCAAAUAUAAGAAGAGAAAAAGAGAAGAAGACGAAGAAACCCAGCUUGAUAUUGUUGAUUAGAUCUUGUGCUGAAAGAGAAACCAAGAAAAAAGAU